rnacentral:rRNA from 1 species
UACAGGGGGUGCAAACGUUGCUCGGAAUCAUUGGGCGUAAAGCGCACGUAGGCGGUUAUUUAAGUCGGAUGUGAAAGCCCUUGGCUCAACCGAGGAAGUGCAUCCGGAACUGAAUAGCUGGAGUACGAAAGAGGGUCGCGGAAUUCCCGGUGUAGAGGUGAAAUUCGUAGAUAUCGGGAGGAACACCGGUGGCGAAGGCGGCGACCUGGUUCGAGACUGACGCUGAGGUGCGAAAGCGUGGGGAGCAAACAGG